rfam:Ictidomys tridecemlineatus contig007797, whole genome shotgun sequence.
AGAGCUGUAGCUCAGUGGUUGAGUGCUGCCCGACAUGCAUGAGGUCCUGGGUUCAAUCUCCAGCACCACUA